rnacentral:rRNA from 1 species
GGGUGAGUAACGCGUGGGCAACCUGCCCUGUACCGGGGGACAACAGCCAGAAAUGGCUGCUAAUACCGCAUAAGCCUGCUGUGCCGCACGACACAGCAGGGAAAACCACGGUGGUACAGGAUGGGCCCGCGUCUGAUUAGUUAGUUGGCAGGGUAACGGCCUACCAAGACAACGAUCAGUAGCCGGCUUGAGAGAGUGGACGGCCACAUUGGGACUGAGACACGGCCCAGACUCCUGCGGGAGGCAGCAGUGGGGAAUAUUGCACAAUGGGGGGAACCCUGAUGCAGCAAUGCCGCGUGGGUGAAGAAGCACUCCGGUGCGUAAAGCCCUGUCAGCAGGGAAGAAAAUGACAGUACCUGGACAAGAAGCCCCGGCUAACUACGUGCCAGCAGCCGCGGUAAUACGUAGGGGGCAAGCGUUAUCCGGAUUUACUGGGUGUAAAGGGAGCGCAGGCGGCGUGGCAAGUCAGAUGUGAAAACCCGGGGCCCAACCCCGGGAGUGCAUUUGAAACUGCCAUGCUGGAGUGCCGGAGAGGUAAGCGGAAUUCCUAGUGUAGCGGUGAAAUGCGUAGAUAUUAGGAGGAACACCAGUGGCGGAGGCGGCUUACUGGACGGUAACUGACGCUGAGGCUCGAAAGCGUGGGGAGCAAACAGGAUUAGAUACCCUGGUAGUCCACGCCGUAA